rnacentral:lncRNA from 1 species
UUUUUUUCUGGACUUCCAAGCAUAUUUUUUCAGAUGCCGUUUCAAAAUCCUUGUUGAAUCCCCAGAGAUAUUUAAAAUUGAGAUGUCUGUCACAAGCACGAUCAACAGUGCUUUUUGUAUUUAAUCAUUCUGUAAGCCGAAAUAUUUUGGAAGCACUGAAAGAUGUGAACAUCAUUUCAGUGGACAUAUAUAGAUGUUUACUCUAAAUAUUUCAAGGAAUAUGACAUGAUAUUACAUCUUCCUCCCUCCCUCCCUCCUUCCCUCCCUCCCUCCCUCCCUUCCUUCCUUCCUUCCGUCCUUCCGUCCUUCCGUCCUUCCAUCCUUCCGUCCUUCCUUCCUUCCGUCCUUUUCCUUUCUUUCUUUCUCUGCCAACUUUAAUAUGAUGCAAUUUCUGUUGAGACGUAAUUGUGACCAACCAGUGACAAGACUGACCUUUAGAGAACUGCAGUUUAGAUGACACUCUGUAACAAGAGAUUUGAGACAUGGAUCAGAAGGGAUGAAACCAUGUAAAACUUUCCUGCAAGUUCCAGAAAGUUUGGUAAUAAAGAUCAGGGCUGGAAUUGGUGUAGUUUUCCUGUAUUUCUCACCAUGGGAUAUGUCAUUUCUUGAAGGAAUGAAAUUAUUCUGCAUUAUACAAUGAAUCAAGUGAUAGCAUGGAGAUGAUAUGGGAUUAGGAGAUCUUUGAUUUUAAAUUGUUACUGAACAGCUUGACACCAAAAGAUUUUGCUGCUUAUUGUAGCCUCAACCCAGAGAUGUCACAGUGCUGCCUGUCUCUAUUACAGAACUCCUAUCACAGUGAAGCAGACUUGCCUUGUUGCUCUGGAGCUGGCCCCUUCUGACUCGGAGUUAAGACAAAUUAGAACUCUUCUCUGUGGGUUUGCAGAGCAUCCAGCACAAGUCUAUUUCAUGUACUGGGUUUCUGUCUUUUCGAAUACAAUUUUCUUGAUCUGGUCUAGAUCCCUUCAUAACAGGGGGUCCAUCAUCUCUCACCUCUUGUUUGGCAGACCCUACACUAAGUAAUGCUGCACAGGGUUAAGAGAAAAGGGAGAAAGAACCAGAGAGAAGGCAUGACAGCUGUGCUGCAAAAGGAGACUAUAGCAGUCCUUUUUAGUCUACAAUGUGUUUAGCAUUCACACUUCACAUUUUAGGAGAAACUUUUAUCACAUCUAUGACAGACACAUCACAGGUGGGGAAACCGAAUGAAAAAUAAUAAUUAAAAAUGCUUGGACAUGGCUGAGUUUGUAUUUUGUUCUAAUUCAUUUUGGCAAUUUACUUUUUCCAAAUAUUCUUUUAAUGUUUAUAAUGUAUGAAUUUAAUCUGUGAACCUUUUCCCUCAAAUUUCAGCCUCACUUAUAUCUUGAAUCAAGUCACUCAUCUCUAGCAUUUGCAAUUUGCUAGUCAACAGCUGUGUGAAUAAUUACAAUGAUUGAUGGAAAAGGAAUUCCUUUUGGUAGGAAUGUUUAAAGGAUAGUUUUCUAAGAGAAAACAUGGGAAGGAUGUAAAUGCGGGUCCUAGUUCUAUUCACUAGCUCCUAUUACAGACAUUCUGAGCAUUUCUGAAGGUGCUUUUUAUGCCUUUUUGUCCUAAUAGAUCACUCAAAGACAGUGCAGACUAAGA